UCGGGCUGUAGCGCAGUUGGUAGCGCGCCUGGUUCGGGACCAGGAGGUCGCGGGUUCGACUCCCGCCAACCCGAU
rnacentral:tRNA from 1 species